rnacentral:tRNA from 7 species
GCGGGUGUAGUUCAAUGGUAGAAUUCCAGCCUUCCAAGCUGGCCGUGUGGGUUCGAUUCCCAUCACCCGCUCCA